GCUAUUAAGAGAAACCCUGCAUGGUUUACACUAACUGCUUGGAAGUAUUUUGUUUUGAAUAAAGAAGUCAAAAUUUAAUUAACUUGACUCAAAGUAAAGUGAGGGGGUGUCAUUGUCCACAGGGAAGAGAUCAUAAACCACACGCAGAGCUACUAACAUGCACUAUGACAUUAACAAUCAAACAACACAAUUGUCUCAUAGCCUGAUUCAGUAAGGCGAUGUACUGUUCUGUUUCAGCUGAAACUUCCUUCCAAUCAGGUAAGUUUAGGCACUUACCUUUCUGAUCUCAAAACAAAAUCCAACUUUAAGGCAGUAUGUGAUGGCUCCCCAGGAUACACAUGCAUGUGUAAUCCUGUCCUAUAUAAUUACUGCCUGCCUACAUGAGCUCUCUGUGUGUUCCAGUCAAGUAUUCUCCUUUCUUGUUCAAACUGUUCUGUUCCUGUUCCUGAAUAUCACAAGGUGACUGUUUUCUGUUGGUGGGUGGAUAAAACAUUGCUGGCUGUGAUUAAACUUGAGCACCCAAGCCUGGGAUCAAGAGAGAGAAAGUGCAGAGUGCAGCAAGCACAUCUCAGAUUAAUGUGGUCCUUGGUGUCACAAGUGUUUUCUGAUCUGUCUGCUGAAAGAGGCCAACAUCAUGUUCUGCCUCCAAAUGCAUCAUAAGCAGCUGCUGCAGCUUAUCUACCAGAGCCUCCCCUGCCACUCCAAUCAGCCUUACUAUACUGAACAACACUCUGCUAUUUUAAAGAAAACGGAAAAGGAUGUACUUGACAGCAAAUGCUCCAGUGUUGCCCCGGUUAAGGAUGGACAUAAGCACAUGCUUAGGAGCUUUUUUGUAUCAUGGAAUUGGAGAGUUUCUCAGCCCUCAAGACUUUCUUCCUUCUCUGUCUGAGAAUCCACAAGGCUGUGAUUGAAGUUGGUCUGAUGCCAGUGUUAGCAUUUCUUAUGGGACAAGAAAAAUUGGGUCCCUGAGUUUUCUAAAUACAGUGAGAAGCAAUGGCUAUUUUAAUGUAAGAAAUUAUUUAAUAUAUGUGCUCUUCAACAGAGAUGCAACUUCAAAAAUAAACCUAAUAAUGAAUUGCAAAAUCUCACCUUUUUUCUUCUUCAAAAUGACAGUUUUUAUUGUUGCAUCUCCUUUUUAUUCCCCUUGAAAAUAUGCCCAAACUUGUUAACAGCAAGCAGAUAGAAGAUUUACCCUAUAAAAAGCACCAGUAAUUCCAACUGUCAGUAUUUUCUGUUCUUAUACAACAUGUUAGCUGAAAGAAGAUGAAACCUGAAAUGAAUCCAGAUUUUGGCUUCAUCUCCAUAUAUGUAAUAAAAUGACCACAUUCAGUACUAAUAUUAUAUAAUUAAAGACCAUGCAUGAAUCACCUAGCAUGAGGGCUAAAUAAAAUUUGUCUUUAUUU